GUCAGGCUCAGUGGUGCAUACCUGUAGUCCCAGCUACUGGAGAGGCUGAGAUGGUAGGAUCGCUUGAGCCAAGGAGUUCUGGGCUGUAAUGUGAUAUGUCCAUCGGGUGUCCACACUAAGUUCGGCAUCAAUAUGGUGACCUCCUGGGAGUGGGGACCACCAGGUUGUCUAAGGAGGGGUGAACCAGCCCAGUUAAGAAACGGAGGAGGUCAAAACUCCCGUACUAAUCAGUAGUGGGAUCGCGCCUGUGAAUAGCCACUGCACUCCAGCCUGGGCAACAUAGCAAGACCCUGUCUAU
rnacentral:SRP_RNA from 1 species